AGUGAACGCUGGCGGUAGGCCUAACACAUGCAAGUCGAACGGCAGCACAGUAAGAGCUUGCUCUUACGGGUGGCGAGUGGCGGACGGGUGAGGAAUACAUCGGAAUCUACUUUUUCGUGGGGGAUAACGUAGGGAAACUUACGCUAAUACCGCAUACGACCUACGGGUGAAGGCAGGGGAUCUUCGGACCUUGCGCGAUUGAAUGAGCCGAUGUCGGAUUAGCUAGUUGGCGGGGUAAAGGCCCACCAAGGCGACGAUCCGUAGCUGGUCUGAGAGGAUGAUCAGCCACACUGGAACUGAGACACGGUCCAGACUCCUACGGGAGGCAGCAGUGGGGAAUAUUGGACAAUGGGCGCAAGCCUGAUCCAGCCAUACCGCGUGGGUGAAGAAGGCCUUCGGGUUGUAAAGCCCUCUUGUUGGGAAAGAAAAGCAGCAGGUUAAUACCCCGCUGUUCUGACGGUACCCAAAGAAUAAGCACCGGCUAACUUCGUG
rnacentral:rRNA from 1 species